rnacentral:lncRNA from 1 species
AUGAAUGUGGUACCUUAAAGCGUUUGGAAAUUGCUCCCAAGGAUGAACCAGACUUGUGGAGGUCUACAAUUUUUUUUCUGAGGUCUUGGCUGAUUUCUUUUGAUUUUCCCAUGAUGUCAAGCAAAGAGGCACUGAGUUUGAAGGUAGGUCUUGAAAUACAUCCACAGGUACACCUCCAAUUGACUCAAAUGAUGUCAAUUAGCCUAUCAGAAGCUUCUAAAGCCAUUACAUCAUUUUCGGGAAUUUUCCAAGCUGUUUAAAGGCACAGUCAACUUAGUGUGUGUAAACGUCUGACCCACUGGAUUUGUGAUACAGUGAAUUAUAAGUGAAAUCAUCUGUAAACAAUUGUUGGAAAAAUGACUUGUGUCAUGCGCAAAGUAGAUGUCCUAACCGACUUGCCAAAACUAUAGUUUGUUAACAAGAAAUUUGUGGAGUGGUUGAAAAACAAGUUUUAAUGACUCCAACCUAAGUGUACGUAAACCUCCGACUUCAACUGUAGGCGGAUGCAUUCCUUAGCCCCCCCUCUCCCGGCGCAUGGCUGUGAGCUGUAAUUUUAAUAAAGUUGGUUUUAAACACAAUAAACUUAUGUCGGGAAAGGAAAAAAUAGAGUAACUAAUCUAUGCCUGUUCUGAUAAAACCUUAGUGCAUUUAGACUCGGGGGAUGCCUUGCUUGACCAGACCCUCCUUCCUUGCUCCUGGCCUGCCCUGCCUCUUCCACCAAUGAAUUUGUUUUUAUGGACAGAAAAGAGCAGAAGCUCUGAGCUGUCCGAUCAGGCCCAUUGUCUAUUGUCGCAUUCAAUUAAGACUAUAGUUUCAGGGAUCAUUUCUAUAUUUCUUGACUUGAGAAAUGUGUUUCUAAAGUAUUUGGUCUCGCUACCCACGAUGAUGAGAUGCGAUAUUCCCUUCUGAGUGCGAAGCGGGCUUUGAGUACUGAUUCAGUUCAUCUGCUCUCUGUCAUUGAUCACCGGUCUUUGCUGCCAUGUGGAGUAUUGAGGGAGGGAAUAUGAUCGUGAUGGGCAUUCUGACUCUUUUCAGUGAGCCGGCUUGUUCGGCUCAGCACACCAAAAAGAGACGGCUCUUUUGGCUCCCAAACAGUUUGUAUUUUUUCAAGUCGAGAGGUUUGCGAUAGUUUGACUUUGAUUGGUGUUAAAACAAUUCUAAUUAAAUUAUUCAAUGAAAUCCUACUCUACCUUAACCACAAUUUAUUUAAAAAUGCAUUGGUUUGUUAUGAAAAAGAAUGCUAUUAAACAUUUACAUUUAAUGUAUAACUUUUUAAUGUAUAUAAACAAAGGUCAUAUAAAUCUAACAAUUCAAAACGAAUACAAUCUGAACAACAUAAUAAUAGAAUAUUGCACCAUAUCAAAGAAAAAUAAAUAACAAUGUGAAAAACUGCAGCAUCCCACUAAAAACAUUAAACUGGUCCCUCUUUUCUCUCUCUUCUUUAUUGCCAUGUUAUAACCAGCAGCACACAGCAAUGCUAACCAUAUUUGCUUUUAUGAGAGAUUUGAAUUCAGAAAUGCAAGCUGCCUCACUUUCGAGGGGCUGAUGUGGUUUCUUCUCUCAGUAAUUAUUUGUCCCGUUUUCGAGAAGACCAUCUCAGAGGGAACUGAUGUGGCCACUAUGCAGAGUCUCCCUGUCAGGACUUUAGUAAGCCGUGGGUAGACAGAGGCCUUGUUCUUCCACCAGCUCAGAGGAUCUGCAGAUCUUUGGAGGAGGGGCUCCUCCAAAUAGGAUCGGACCUCCAUUAUGGCAUCUGCUGAGGGAUUCCUUCGUGCUGCAUCCCCAGUUGCUCUCUCUCAAACAGCAUCCAAACAGCAGACGUUUGUGGCACUACUGCUGGUGCUUCUGCUCCAUCUGCUCCCUCUUCUUCCUGUUGCCCUGGUGCCUGAGCCAGCUGACUGCUGGGGCUGUCCCUCCCUGCUGCUGAGGUUAUUCUUUGAAGAGCCUCAUCAAUCGCUCUGUCAUCACUGAAGGCUAACUUCUCAAACCUGGGGUCAAGUGCAGCGGUUUCUGAUAGCACGUGAUUAUAUUCCAUUCUGUGGAACUUUCUGUCCAUUGAUGAACAUAGGGUGUCCACCAACUCUGUCACAUGUACUGUGGUUACAUUUGCUUCUCUCUGGCGGCUGGCUGUGAUUUGCUGCAGAACCUUACACAGGAGUAUCAUUUUUGAGGCUGUCACAUAGCUGAAAAGAGAGAACAGUAACUUAUUAGUUCAGGUUCAUGUUUUGUCUACUGAUACUACAUUCUCAUCUACUGCUCAUAUACAUAUAUAAUACUGGAUUAAAUUAUGAUGUAGGAAUAACUGCUUACUCUACCUCUCCACUGAUCUCCACAGUGACCUGCUCAAAGGGUUCCAGGACUCUGCACACCUCCACCACCUCCCAUUCCUCUUGGGUCAGAGCAUCAACAGUUCCUCUGCCAAGUUCUCUGAGGUGUGACUGUCGCUGAACUCAAAGCAGUCCAGAAGACAGCUAGACAUCGAAAAAUCUUCAAUGAAGUGACAUGUAACCGACAGACAUAGACUUUGCCAUAAACUGGUCCAUAGAAGACUGCGUUGCUGUGGGUCGUGGAGUAGGCCUACUUGACUGACCACGUGUGGAGGUGCUGGCUCCACCACUAUCACUAGCAGGCCGCUAGUUUCUCGAAGCUCCGCUACAGCUAGCUUCACAGUUGGGUGCACUGUUCGCAUAUGCCGGUGUAGGUUGUGCAUAGAACCGGCUUUAUAUGAGAUUUUUGUUGUUGCAAAUUCUACACUGUGCUCUAACAUUGUCUACAUUAUUAAAAUGCAUCCAAAUGCUACUGUGCUUCCGACUCAUUUUCCAGCAGUUGUUUUCACAGCUGUCCUUCCUCUCUCUCCUCGGCUGCUAAGUGUGUGACUGUGAGUGAGUUGGCUCAGCCCUCCCUCACGCAUCUUUGGUUCAUUGGUUGACACUGUGUCUGAUUGACAGGAACAACAGAUGAGGCUGUUAGUCUAAGCAGACAGUCAGAAUGAAUGUGUGCGCUUGAGCAGUUAAGCCUAUAUUAUUUUACUUCUUUUUUUGUUUUUUGAAUUAGUUAACUCUGUUCAUUUAAAUCUUUUGAUUCUUUUAUUUUUUUAUAAAUAGAUUUGGCUCUUCUGAUAUGCGAGCCGGUUCCUAAUGUUCACCUACAAGAGCCGACUCUUAGAGCCAACUCGUUGGCGAACGACCCAUCACCAGAAUAUGAUCAGAGUGGUGCACUCUUAAUCUUGUUAAAGUGAAAAUUAAACAAACAUUUCAUAGUAUUACAUUGAUGCAAUAGUUUAAUAAUGUCAUUUCAGCGCUGUUAUUCAUCUUUGAUGUUGCGCUGGAAAAAGACUCUUCAUCUAUUUCCAUUCAUCAUAGCGAUGAUGUCGACAAUGCCAACUUUUCAGCUGCAGUACAACUCUACUGAACAGAAAGAUAAACAACAUGUGAAGUGUUGGUCCCAUGUUUCAUGAGCUGAUAUAAAAGUUCCCAGAAAUGUUCCAUAUGCACAAAAAGCUUAUUUCUCUUAAAUUUUGUGUACAAAUUUGUUUAAAUCCUUAUCAGUGAGCAUUUCUCAUUUGCCAAGCGAGUCCAUCCACCUGACAAGUGUGGCAUAUCAAGAAGCUGAUUAAACAGCAUGAUCAUUACAUCUUGUGCUGGGGACAAUAAAAGGACACUCUACAAUGUGCAGUUUUGUCCCACAACACAAUGCCGCUGAUGUCUCAAAUUUUGAGGGAGCAUGCAAUUGUCAUGCUGACUGCAGGAAUGUCCACCAGAGCUCUUUCCAGAGAAUUGAAUGUUAAUUUCUCUACCAUAAGCCACCUCCAACGUUGUUUGACAGAAUUUGGCAGUACAUCCAACCGGCCUCACAACCGCAGACCAGGUGUAACCACACCAGCCCAGGACCUCCACAUCCACAUCCAGCUUCUUCACCUGCGGGAUCAUCUGAGACCAGCCACCCGGACAGCUGAUGAAACUGAGGAGUAUUUCUGUCUGUAAAAAAGCAAUUUUUUUGGGAAAAACUCAUUCUGAUUGGCUGGGCCUGACUCCCCAGUGGGUGGGCCCCUGCUCAGUGAAAUCAAAUUGUAUUGGUCACAUACACAUAUUUAGCAGAUGUUAUUGCAGGUGUAACGAAAUGCUGUUGCGCCUUCUUCACCAUGCUGUCUGUGUGGGUGGACCAUUUCAGAUUGUCAGUGAUGUGUAUUCCGAGGAACUUGAAGCUUUCCACCUUCUCCACUGCGGUCCUGUCGAUGUGGAUAGGGGCAUACUCCCUCUGCUGUUUCCUGAAGUCCACGAUCAGCUUCUUCAUUUUGUUGACGUUGAGGGAGAGGGUAUUUUCCUGACAUCACUCCGUCAGGGCCCUCACCUCCUCCCUGUAGGCUUGUCAUUGUUGGUAAUCAGGUCUACUACUGUUGUGUCAUCUGCAAACUUGUCAUGUGAAAUCCAUCGAUUAGGGCCUAAUUUAUUUAUUUAAAUUGAACAAUUUCCUUAUAUGAACUAUCACAGUAAAGUAGUUUAAAUUGUUCUAGUUGCGUUUAUAUCUGUGUUCAGUAUAAAACAAUAAAUAUACUGCUCAAAAAAAUAAAGGGAACACUUAAAACAACACAUCCUCGAUCUGAAUGAAAGAAAUAAACUUAUUAAAUACUUUUUUGUUUACAUAGUUGAAUGUGCUGACAACAAAAUCACACAAAAAUAAUCAAUGGAAAUCGAAUUUAUCAACCCAUGGAGGUCUGGAUUUGGAGUCAUACUCAAAAUUAAAGUGGAAAACCACACUACAGGCUGAUCCAACUUUGAUGCAAUGUCCUUAAAACAAGUCAAAAUGAGGCUCAGUAGUGUGUGUGGCCUCCACGUGCCUGUAUGAUCUCCC